UGUUGUUCACCCAUUCCCAUCCACUCAAACCAAUUAGAGUAACGGUGAAAUGAUCCAAAUACUUAAGACUUUGUUUUCUGUAAUUCUGCUUCUCGAAAUACAAAAUUUGUCACUGAGACAAACCAAUUUUGGUUAGUUUUGUCGUUUCUAUAUUGUUCAGACACUACUGAAAGUCCAAUAACGUCGAUGUCUUUCAUAUUGAUACUGUAUGAUUUAUCCUUUUUAAGUUCUAGGUUUUCGUCAGAUUUAAGAUUGGAACAUCGACAGUUUUGUUUGUUAAAGGAUUGUACCAUUUACUAAUUGGUAUUUUGGUUUUGCUGUCAAGGAAUAUUCCGUUGGUGAAAAUCUGCAUUUGUGCUUCUCCGCUGGACGAUGCACUUCCGGUAGUAGUAUUUGCCUGACCUU
rnacentral:lncRNA from 1 species